rnacentral:rRNA from 1 species
GACGAACGCUGGCGGCGUGCUUAACACAUGCGAGUCGAACGGAAAGGCCCUGCUUUUGUGGGGUGCUCGAGUGGCGAACGGGUGAGUAACACGUGAGUAACAUGCCCUUGACUUUGGGAUAACUUCAGGAAACUGGGGCUAAUACCGGAUAGGAGCUCCUGCUGCAUGGUGGGGGUUGGAAAGUUUCGGCGGUUGGGGAUGGACUCGCGGCUUAUCAGCUUGUUGGUGGGGUAGUGGCUUACCAAGGCUUUGACGGGUAGCCGGCCUGAGAGGGUGACCGGCCACAUUGGGACUGAGAUACGGCCCAGACUCCUACGGGAGGCAGCAGUGGGGAAUAUUGCACAAUGGGCGGAAGCCUGAUGCAGCAACGCCGCGUGCGGGAUGACGGCCUUCGGGUUGUAAACCGCUUUCGCCUGUGACGAAGCGUGAGUGACGGUAAUGGGUAAAGAAGCACCGGCUAACUACGUG